rnacentral:rRNA from 1 species
UACAGAGGGUGCAAGCGUUGUUCGGAAUUAUUGGCGUAAAGCGCGUGUAGGCGGGUAUGGUGUGUCGGGUGUGAAAGCCCUCAGCUCAACUUGAGGAAGUGCGCCCGAAACUGCCGGUUCUUGAGUGUCGGAGAGGGUGACGGAAUUCCCGUGUAGAGGUGAAAUUCGUAGAUAUCGGAGGAACACCAGUGGCGAAGGCGGAUCGACC